rnacentral:rRNA from 1 species
CCUACGGGAGGCAGCAGUAGGGAAUCUUCCACAAUGGGCGCAAGCCUGAUGGAGCAACACCGCGUGAGUGAAGAAGGGUUUCGGCUCGUAAAGCUCUGUUGUUGGAGAAGAACGUGCGUGAGAGUAACUGUUCACGCAGUGACGGUAUCCAACCAGAAAGUCCCGGCUAACUACGUGCCAGCAGCCGCGGUAAUACGUAGGUGGCAAGCGUUAUCCGGAUUUAUUGGGCGUAAAGCGAGCGCAGGCGGUUGCUUAGGUCUGAUGUGAAAGCCUUCGGCUUAACCGAAGAAGUGCAUCGGAAACCGGGCAACUUGAGUGCAGAAGAGGACAGUGGAACUCCAUGUGUAGCGGUGGAAUGCGUAGAUAUAUGGAAGAACACCAGUGGCGAAGGCGGCUGUCUGGUCUGCAACUGACGCUGAGGCUCGAAAGCAUGGGUAGCGAACAGGAUUAGAUACCCGGGUAGUC